AGUGAGCGCUGGCGGUAGGCCUAACACAUGCAAGUCGAACGGCAGCACAGUAAGAGCUUGCUCUUACGGGUGGCGAGUGGCGGACGGGUGAGGAAUACAUCGGAAUCUACUUUUUCGUGGGGGAUAACGUAGGGAAACUUACGCUAAUACCGCAUACGACCUACAGGUGAAAGCAGGGGAUCUUCGGACCUUGCGCGAUUGAAUGAGCCGAUGUCGGAUUAGCUAGUUGGCGGGGUAAAGGCCCACCAAGGCGACGAUCCGUAGCUGGUCUGAGAGGAUGAUCAGCCACACUGGAACUGAGACACGGUCCAGACUCCUACGGGAGGCAGCAGUGGGGAAUAUUGGACAAUGGGCGCAAGCCUGAUCCAGCCAUACCGCGUGGGUGAAGAAGGCCUUCGGGUUGUAAAGCCCUUUUGUUGGGAAAGAAAAGCAGCAGGUUAAUACCCCGCUGUUCUGACGGUACCCAAAGAAUAAGCACCGGCUAACUUCGU
rnacentral:rRNA from 1 species